AUACGUAGGUGGCAGGCGUUAUCCGGAAUUAUUGGGCGUAAAGAGUGAGCAGGCGGUUAAUUAAGUCUGAGGUUAAAGCGUGGGGCUCAACCCCAUUAAGCCUUUGGAACUGAUUGACUAGAGUAAGCGAGAAGUGACGGGACCUCCAUGUGUAGCGGUGAAAUGCGUAGAUAUAUGGAAGAACACCAGUGGCGAAGGCGCUUCACUAGCCCGAAACUGACGCUCAGUCACGAAAGCGUGGGUAGCAAAUAGGAUUAGAUACCCUAGUAGUCCACGCUGUAAACGAUGACAACUAAAUAUUGCCGCGAGGCAGUGUUGAAGCUAACGCAUUAAGUUGUCCGCCUGGGGAGUACGGUCGCAAGACUGAAACUUAAAGGAAUUGACGGGG
rnacentral:rRNA from 1 species